UAUGGAAGAACAUGAAAGAAAAUAAAGUAUCUUCACACUUAAGAUGAUCUUUGAUUGACUUAACUGAUACCAUUCGGAGGGGGUGGAGAUAAAUAGUCUUCCACCCAGAUUCACUUUGCUCUAAGUGAUGGCUUCCCUUUAGCUGGCACAUUUUGCAGGGGUUGGUUGCGCGCAGCUUGGGGCAUGAGCAUUGUGGCAUUGUGGGACGUUGUUUCAGCCUGCGACUUGAGGGUUAUGAGCUCGGGGAAGAGACAGUUAAAGCUUCCUCGCACCAGCAAGAUGAGUUGUACCACAGCGCUCAUGCCAAGGUCAGCAGUCUGAGUGGAGCUGAGACACUUAAUGCCCGUUCCAAGCAGUGCCAAGCACCUCUGGAAGCCCCUGCCUAGGACCCCAAAUUUAGAUUCAUGCUGCAGUCUGGAGAGUGUUCUGACGGCUGCCGGGCUACAGGGAAAAGCACACUGCACACUGCCUCUGAAACGAGACAGAGCUCUCCAGGCUGGGAGUCUGAGGAAGCCGGACCUGAGCAGCGCUAGUCAGGGGAAAGAGAAGCCCAGUUCACCAUUGGCCAUCAGGGUCCAGGAGCAUCACUUCCUUUAUCCAGCACCCUAUCUCUGUGACAUGUGAAGAAACCAGUCCAUUUUCCAAUGGCAAAACCGAGCUCACAUACACCAUAUUCUUCAAUGUCUGUCCUUCUACCAGUUGGAUCUGUUUUCUUUUGUAGUUCUGGGCACUUUUCAAGACUCUGUUGACUAAAUCUUAAAGGAGUGUUGAUAAUGCAAUUCAUAAACUGGCUUUCUGAGCUAUUAUGAUGCCUUUUCCUCUCUUUGUGACCAAGAACAUCUACUCUCUUGCCUUUGAAGAUCCAUGAGGUUUUAAAAUCAUGAGACCCAAGGCAGAAGUGUCCAGGCAACUGGGAGCCAAGUCUAGCUGCUGCACUUGAAAGCCAGGACUUGACUGGAGAGAACGCAGUAGAGGUAAAGAUUCUGUGAGUGCGUUUGGACCAUGAGAAUAAUGUGUCUUCGUACAAGACAAUGGGUGGCUGAUUUUUGAUGCCUCCUGGGUUACUGUUUGGUGAACUCUGAAAUACCCACUCUGCUCACACACAGGGUCACAGAAGACAUGGGUAUAUUGAGCACACUGGUACUAGGGUCAACAGUGAGCUGACGCUAUGUGCAGAUGAACCUCUCUGUUUCUACUGGAGCCAUCAUUCAAUGGACAGAAAGGAUUUGGGUGUUGGACUCAUCUCUGAUACAUCCUGUCUGCAGGGAUAGAAAGUAUUCCUGGGGAACAUCGAAGCUGAAGAAACUACAGCUUUUCUUUCGAGUCUGGAUUAUUCUGAACCACAUGGAAUUACAAUCAAGUCCGGGAUGAGUGGCUCAAAGCCUGGCUAUGACCGAGGGAACGGAAGACAAAUUGGGAUCAUAUUUUAUUCAACCAAGAGAAAUGGAAUCCAGCAGAGUAAAUUUCAUGUUCUCUGGAAAUAUGUCCUGUUAAUGUUAUUAUUGAGAAGAAGCACAGACAACACAGUCUUCCAGGCAAGGAAGAGAAGGAGAUGUGACCUUGGCUUUGUGAGCUGUGGCAGGGAGGGACCCAGAAUGAUAGUGAAGGUCUCUGGAAGCUUCCAAACAAACAAGUGUGGGUGUCUUUUGUCAGAUCCCUGAGAGUGGGUGGGGCAGAAGACUUGCUGUGUUUUCUGUGGAUAAAUACACAAAACGAUUUAUUACUGCAACACAAGCAGGCUACAAUACACUUCAUACAUUUCUUUGGUUUUAACAAUUGCAUUAGGAAUUUUGCCCUUGUCUGAAUCCUAA